rnacentral:rRNA from 1 species
GACGAACGCUGGCGGCGUGCCUAAUACAUGCAAGUUGAGCGCUGAAGGUUGGUACUUGUACCAACUGGAUGAGCAGCGAACGGGUGAGUAACGCGUGGGGAAUCUGCCUUUGAGCGGGGGACAACAUUUGGAAACGAAUGCUAAUACCGCAUAAAAACUUUAAACACAAGUUUUAAGUUUGAAAGAUGCAAUUGCAUCACUCAAAGAUGAUCCCGCGUUGUAUUAGCUAGUUGGUGAGGUAAAGGCUCACCAAGGCGAUGAUACAUAGCCGACCUGAGAGGGUGAUCGGCCACAUUGGGACUGAGACACGGCCCAAACGCCUACGGGAGGCAGCAGUAGGGAAUCUUCGGCAAUGGACGAAAGUCUGAACGAGCAACGCCGCGUGAGUGAAGAAGGGUUUCGGAUCGGAAAACUCUGUUGGUAGAGAAGAACGUUGGUGAGAGUGGAAAGCUCAUCAAGUGACGGUAACUACCCAGAAAGGGACGGCUAACUACGUG